GUCUUUUUGAUUUUAAUUUAAAGUCUGGCCUGCCCACUGAACAUUAAAUGGCCGUGGUAUUUUGACCGUGCUAAGGUAGCAUAAUCAUUAGUUUUUUAAUUGAAAACUGGAAUGAAGGGUUGGAUAAGAAAAUGACUGUCUCUAUUUAAUUUUAUUAGAAUUUUAUUUUUAAGUUAAAAAGCUUAAUUGUUAUUUAAAGACGAGAAGACCCUAUAGAGUUUAAUUAUUAAUAUUUAUUUUUAAUUUUAGAAUUUAAUUUUAAAUAAGUUGAGAGAUAAUUUAAUUGGGGUGAUUGAAAAAUUAAAUUAACUUUUUUUAAUUUAUAACAUUAAUGUAUGAAUUAUUGAUCCAGAAAUUUUGAUUAUAAGAUAAAAUUACCUUAGGGAUAACAGCGUAAUUUUUUUUGAAAGUUCUAAUUGAAAAAAAAGAUUGCGACCUCGAUGUUGGAUUAAAAUAAAUUUUUGGUGUAGAAGCUAAAAUGAUAGGUCUGUUCGACCAUUAAAAUUUUACA
rnacentral:rRNA from 1 species